rnacentral:lncRNA from 1 species
GUGCAGCAAAGGCAUCUUUAGGACAUCUUCACUCCUGCUGACUUCCUCGCUCUCUUCCAGACACCAGCACCCCCGCUACACUUCCAAGCACCACCACUGCCACACCUUCUACACACCCCCAAACCGUCACAACAGAAGGCAUGAAGGACGAGCCAAAGAGUGGCCUGGAUCCACAAACCAUAAUUGUGUUGGCAGUGGCUGCUGCUGUGUUCCUGGCUGUGGUUUUGGGAUUGACAGUGUUCCUCGGGUGGAGGAGAAAGCAAGGCCAGAGGACUAAAGCAGAAACCCCAGCCAGGGAGCCAUUGGAAAACAGUGAGAAACGUGAGAGUAUUGGCCAUGAAGGACAAUAUAUGGAUCCCACAGAGAACCCCAAGGAUAAUAACAUCGUGUAUGCCUCCAUCUCCCUCUCAAGCCCGACAUCACCAGGAGCAGCACCUAGCCUGCCUGUCCAAAAGAACCCCCAGGAAGAGACCGUGUACUCUACCAUAAAGGCCAAAUGAGUGGGUCUGGGUGACACUCUUACGGUGACUUUUGUUUCUGGUGGGAAGACUCCCAGCUUCCACUGACAACACAGACAGAAAUAAACUCACGGGUCACUGAAACCACAGGCAAACACAGAAAUUCGUUCGUCAGAGAGUCUGACCACAGAGAAACUGAGAAACUCCCAAGUUCCCUUUUCUAACUUCCUAAGCCUUCCUCACAAAAGUAAACAGAUACACAGAAUCUGCCUACUUAGAAGAAUCUAAGAAGAGAAUUGAUGUGACCCUUGACUUCUGGCCCUCUAAGGACCCUCCUCUAUCACUUUUCUAGCAGCCCAAGCAGGGGAAUCCUAAAUGCUGGCAGCCAGACUCCAUGAUGUGCACCCUCAUCUGUGACUGUAAUAAUCAGCUCGGUGUGACUGAUUCCCAUGUACCACUGCACUGGACAUCAGCCCAAAUCCUAGAUAGACGAUGAGGCCGGAAACUCAAAUAAACCCCAGGUGGCCAAGGUGUUUGCCAAAGGCCAUGUAGCUCCCAGGAAGUUGUCAAGCCAGACAUGCUUUCCUAGAGAUCCCCCCAGCUCUGGGUCUCACUGCUGUCCCCAGCUUCCACUAUUCUCCAGAGAAGGCAGUUUUCCAUAGUGACACAUACACAGAAAAAGCACACUCAGCAGAGUAAUCUCAGAGACCUGCUUUAUUAAUACAGGCCGCACAGCUCUGAUUUGAACUGUGGAGCAGGUCAACAACACCAACAUUUAACAGCUGACCAGGAGGACGGAGAUGCUCUCCCUGCAGCAGACAACAGCAGGGGGACCACAAUACUCUAUUCCUCAAAGAGGGCUGCCAGAAACUCCUCCGAGCUGCCCCUCUGCUGCAUCUCCCCUCUCUCUUCUGGCUCUCCAAUGUCUUCCAUGAGUUGUUCCAAGUCCAGGUCACUGGAACCAUCAUCGUCAGGAGGGAAACUUGUUGCACCCUGUAUCAGGGGCACCUGGGGCUCAAGCCCAUCCUUUCCCAAUGUAUAAACCCCAUGCUGAGCUGGUGGGGCAGGGCACUUGGACCAAUUUUAAUUUCUUUCUCCUCAGAUAAGUUGUUGACUGAAGCCUUGUUUUCAGGAGCUUUAAAUUUUUUCUUAGGGCCUAGAGAGAAUAAGGGACAAAGUUAAGAGUCAACUUAUCCUGACUUUCUACAAGCCAGAUUUCUGAAUUGUUUUAAACAUAUGACAGGAUAACACCUUUAUCAAAACAUGGAAUAUGGGCUUUCAGGUCACACUUGGAUUCUAGCCUUGUGUCAGCUAUAUAUUCAAUAUAGAUGGCCAAUAAAUUUGAAACCUAAGUCUCAGUACACUUGUGUCUGAAAUGUCAGUGGGGAUGGAAAGAUGGCUUAGCAGUUAAAAGCUUCAAGUCCCAAUGCUCACAGAGUAGCCCAACCAUCUGCAACCCCAGGUCUAGACUAUAUGACACCUUCUUCUGGCCACCAGGCAUACACUGUAAAAAUAAGUAAGCAAAAUGUUAAAACUCAGGCCAGUGAUGGGACUAAGGCUCAUUCCAUGAGAAGGAAGCCAUACCUGGCACUGUGGGUAAACAGAUCGCAGGCCCUACGGGGAAAUCCAAUACCAUUAUCCUACUUAAUGGACACAGAAUUAAAAUGACUCCUAAUAACGUACUGCUUCCCCACGGAUCACUGCACCUCUCAACCCUUGUCAGAGAUGCUUCUCCUUGUAGUAGGUGCCACCUCUCAACUGACCAGCAUUCUGAGAAUAAGAGACUAUGGCAUGCACAGCCCUAAACAGAACAUGGCACACCCCAGAUAAAGCCAGAUAAAAUUCCAGUAUGGAAAGGGAAGGUACACAUGAAAUCUCCGUGCUAGUUGAGAAACUGCUGACAUUUUUUAAAACAGAUUUUGCUUUAUGUGUAUGGGUGUUUUCCCUGCAAGUAUAUGCAUCCCAUAUGAGGAGUGUCCAUGGAGGUCAGAA